UACAGAGGUCUCAAGCGUUGUUCGGAUUCAUUGGGCGUAAAGGGUGCGUAGGUGGUGAGGUAAGUCAGGUGUGAAAUCUCGGGGCUCAACUCCGAAACUGCACUUGAUACUGCCUUACUGGAGUACUGGAGAGGAGAUUGGAAUUUACGGUGUAGCAGUGAAAUGCGUAGAUAUCGUAAGGAAGACCAGUGGCGAAGGCGAAUCUCUGGACAGUUACUGACACUGAGGCACGAAGGCCAGGGGAGCAAACGGG
rnacentral:rRNA from 1 species